rnacentral:rRNA from 1 species
UACGGAGGGGGCUAGCGUUGUUCGGAAUUACUGGGCGUAAAGCGCGCGUAGGCGGCUUUGUAAGUUAGAGGUGAAAGCCCGGAGCUUAACUCCGGAACUGCCUUUAAGACUGCAUCGCUAGAAUUGUGGAGAGGUGAGUGGAAUUCCGAGUGUAGAGGUGAAAUUCGUAGAUAUUGGGAAGAACACCAGUGGCGAAGGCGGCUCACUGGCCCGCAACUGACGCUGAGGCGCGAAAGCGUGGGGAGCAAACAGG